rnacentral:rRNA from 1 species
UACGGGGGGGGCAAGCGUUGUUCGGAAUUACUGGGCGUAAAGGGCGUGUAGGUGGCCAACUAAGUCCGACGUGAAAUCCCCAGGCUUAACCUGGGAACUGCGUCGGAUACUGGAUGGCUUGAAUUCGGGAGAGGGAUGCAGAAUUCCAGGUGUAGCGGUGAAAUGCGUAGAUAUCUGGAGGAACAUCAGUGGCGAAGGCGACACCCUGGACUCAUACUGACACUGAGGUGCGAAAGCGUGGGGAGCAAACAGG